GGAGGUGUCAUGACUCAGUGGCAGAGCAUCUGCUUCGCAUGCAGAAUGUCCCAGGUUCAAUCCCCGGCGUCUCCA
rnacentral:tRNA from 1 species